AUUACAUUUUGGAGUGUCUUUAAGCUUAAUACUGCUUAUAUAUUGUUCAAAUUCAGCCAGAAGUCCGUGUAAAUUCCUUUUCAAUACUCUGCAUUUAUGAAUAUGGAAUUUACCAAACAAUAUUAAAAGGCUGAUAAUGUAUUCAAUGAUCUCUCCC